UCUUCUCCCCAGUGCUACGACAUCUAGGAGCACAGAGCAGCACUCUUCUCCCCAGUGCUGGACGACAUCUAGGAGCACAGAGCAGCACUCUUCUCCCCAGUGCUGGACGACAUCUAGGAGCACAGAGCAGCACUCAGUCUGGCCUAACACACACACAAACAUGCAUACACUUUCUAUCCUCCCGGGGACUUUUACUCCUGAAGGAUUGGCUCAACAAGUGUUCGACGUUUCUACCCUAUCGAUCGACAGUGGGAUGAAUGGACUCUACAAUUUGUGGCAGCCUCCCCAUUUAGGACAAAGUAGAUCCGCAAACAUGGACCAUCCACCUGGGUGCUCAACGACUGCAGCCAUUUUGUGCCAGAAGAACCUGAAUGGGAUCCAGUGAGCAUGUCUGAGGUGUUACACUUCAAAGUAGUCUGCUGUAUAAGGAGAGCUAUUUUCAAACCAAUGUUUUGUACAGAAUCAUUACUCUGUUGAUGGUUGAAGUAGAUUUGUCAUUGACUUUUUUUGCACUGGUUCUCCCAGCUGUGAACAUAUGAGAAGCCAGCACUGCAUUCCACCUAUGUUAAUGGAAAUAGUUUGCCGCAACAUCGACUUUUGUUCGGCGGUAUUGUUUAUGAAAACUGAUCCAAUGUGGUCGAGAUCCCAUAUUUUAUGCCAUCUGUUUUGUAGGUCAUAUUUGUGUGCAUUUGGAAGAAGCUGCAGGCCUGAAUCUCAAAUCAAUAUGAAAAAUAGGCACCAAUUGCUGUGAGGUUUAUAUGUUGCCAGUCUGUCUUUCCCAUUAAUAUGGGACCAAAGCUGAUUUAUCCAAAUACAUACAGAAUGAUCAGAGUUUUUUGAUGGCAUAAAAUAUAAUAGUCAGGGGACUUUGUUACAUCAUUUUGGGAGGAAUCUUAGAUUUUUGGUAUGAACUACCCCUUUAAAUCUCCCAACCCUGUCAAUGAUUGAUUUGUUCACGUGGCCAACUUUUUUCCUUAAUGAAUGUAUAAAAAAACAAACUUGUACAGGGGGAGAAGUAUUUAAAACUGUAGUACUGUUUUUAUAUUUUGCUGUUUUUAAAUAAAGGUAGACUUGAGUCAUU